UGCGUAGGCGGUCCCGCAAGUCCGCUGUGAAAGCCCCGGGCUUAACCUGGGAAUGGCAGUGGAAACUAGGGGACUUGAAUCCGGCAGAGGGGGUGGAAUGCCACGUGUAGCAGUGAAAUGCGUAGAGAUGUGGCGGAACACCGAUGGCGAAGGCAGCCCCCUGGGUUGAGAUUGACGCUCAGGCACGAAAGCGUGGGGAGCAAACAGGAUUAGAUACCCUGGUAGUCCACGCCCUAAACGAUGAUCACUAGGUGUUGGGGAAGCGAUUUCUCAGUACCGCAGCUAACGCGUGAAGUGAUCCGCCUGGGGAGUACGGUCGCAAGAUUAAA
rnacentral:rRNA from 1 species